CGGGCAGGGACCACGAGUUGGGACUAACUUGGAGGCAGCGGGGCGGCUCUGCCGGCGGUCGCUGUGGAGGGAAAGUGUUUGGCGGGACCACGGGGACUGCCGUAGAGAGGGAAGAAGAGGCUUUGCUCAGAUCUGGGGAGACUGUUGGAAGCGAGAACGCGAAAGUCAGGCCCCGGGUGCGGGCUUGGAAGUGAGCCGCGGAAGCCUUGGCUCCCAAAGUGGUCGGGACAAAUGGGGCGAGGAAAGGCACCCUUGUUACCGUAACCUCCCCGGGUUGGGCCGUGUCCGCACUUCUAUUCUGGAAGGAGAAUUUGUUAGGGAGGAGGGUCCGAUCUUUGGGCGUAGCUUGAGUCGAUGACCUGCGCUCGGAGGGUCCUAGUGGGAACCUGAUCGGAGGCCGAGGCCACCAGACGCUGGUGACACCGAGGGCCACGGGUGGGAUGGGGGCGCGGAGAGGAACAUCGUGGGACCUUUCCUUUUACUGCGCUUGGGAAGGGAGGAGGAGGACCUGGCACUUACUUGUAGGGUGAGUUGGUUCGGAGCACAAUUAAAACGAACGCUAGUAUUUUACAUAGAGAAUGGAGAAGGUUCUUUAAGCAGUGUUGGAUGGUAAAAUAAAAGCGCGCGCGGGGGAAGGGACGGGAGGUAGGGAGGAGAGAGGAGACCCCGGCUGUUGGAUCAGUGUAACUUAAGCCAGAUCGCCGGCUGCAUUCCCGGGUCCCUGGCUGCCUGGCCAUCCGGUUAGGCAGCUGGGCCCCAGGUCGGAAGGCAGGAGCAGCCGGGGCCGGGGAAGCGACGACUCGCAGUUGAGUGUGACCCUCCCUCCCCUUCCUAACCCAGGGAACGCUUCCUGUCCCGUAGAAUGGGGAACCCGUGUUCUUUGUUAAGGGACCCUCAUUCUUUGCAGAAAGGUAACCAGGCUAUAAGGAGUUCACUCUCCCCACCCCACCCCCCUUUUUAAAUUACAAAAGCCCCCUGCCUCCCUGGUCAGGGGAAAGCUGUAACUAUUUCUUUCCUCUUGCAGACAGUGGUGAAAUGUGGCCAUUGCUUGCAGCUGAAAAGCAAGCGAAUCUGACCAAGUUUCUCACUAGAGGAAACAAGAAAAAGUGCAGACAUUCUUGCUUGCUUCUCAGCUUUGUAAGCCCCCCUCCCUUCCUCUGGCCUGCUAUUGUUUUGUUCUCUGUUCGCCUUGAGAAUGGAAUUAAGGGUCAGAGUUGAAAUCUUGCUUCUAUUUCUCAGGCACGGUUUGACCUUGAGUACAGAGAGGUAGGUAGUGAGUGCUUCCUCCUCCGUGGAAACCUUCCGAUCCUUUCUUCUGCCUCCCAGCCUGCUUUGCAAUUAACCCUUCCCUCCUGCUACUCUUCAGUAUUAAUGAAGGUAAAAGACUUCGGGGCAUCCUCUUCCUGUGAGGUGCCUGUUCCCAUUCCUGAGGUCCUCCGCCAUCACCUCUACCUCUGGCUUCCCGUGGGCCACGCAGGAGGUUUUGUGCGGUCUCUGAGCUGAACUUGGACAAACUAAACCUCUUCCUCAGCAGGGUGAACUUUUCCAAAGGCCUUGUGUGAUCCCUUUGGAGUCUGACUGUUUUAAUAAAGCGUGUGGUGUAUUUUCUUCCUCACCGUUUUAGUGUUUUUUCCAUUUUUCAUUGGUCUCCCCGGAAGCCUGAAAUCCAGCUCUCCUGCUUCCCAGGAUCGCGGAGGCAGGUUCCAGGCUGGGGAAGAAUGCCACUCUGGAUUUUCGGCCUGGGUAUGGGACUCCUUUCCACCAACUUGCCCCAGUUGCCUGCUCAGCCUUCUCCCAGAGCCUGCACACCUUCCGCCUUUGUCUCCUGUUCCACUUUGGGAAGAGGGGACAUUAAGCAGAGGUAAGGGCUCGAGGGUUAGAAGCCGAGUUGGUGCUCUUGAAAGAGAUGACCCACACGGGGAAGGGGAUGGGGUCUGUGGGGAGAAUCCGGCCUGGGGAAACUCCCUGGCAGAAGUCUGGGCCAGCAGAAGAGCAGAGAAGGGUGGUGAUGAGGGGAGAAGGUGGCCUGUGAGGGAGGGUCCUGGGCCAGUGCAGGCACUGGGGCCACCGGCGAGUGCUAGUGUCCAAGUUGGGGUGGGGUGGGGACUGCUGCAUAGGGUAGGGCAGAGACCUUAGCCCUGAAAGCUGUGGCCUACUAUCCCUCUCCUGUCUCCUCCUGGCCCCAAGAAUGAGCCCCCCACCAGGCUGCAUUCCUCUUUGAGCAGGUUGCUUUUGAGAAUUUUAAGCAUACCCUCUUAUUUCGAGGCAGCAAACCCCAGCAGUUCCGGCUUUGCUGUUAGCUCUUUUGUCUUUGUUCCCGGGACUCAGGGGCUGUGUUGCCGGCUUCCUGGGGAUGGCAGGGAUGCAGGGGGUGGGGGUGGGCACAUCAGCGGGCUGGCCGGUUGGAAGUGGGUGAUGGUGAGGCUGCAUCUUGGGGGAGGGGGCGAUGGGCUGGGACUUGGGCCACCGGAACUGAGGAGUCAGACUGGGGGAUAGGGGUAGGGCAGCCUGGUAAAAAAUGCAAAGGGAGCCUGCGAUCCGCCUGAAGUCGAGACUUUGCAAGUCUGUGGUGAGGUGGUGGAGUAAGCCGAAGCUUCUGGAAAUGUGGGGUGUGGGGUUGAGGGGCAGGCCUGGCCCUUUGAGAGUUCUGGCCUGGCUGGUCCCGCAGUGUCUCCCAGCUUUCUUCCCCACAGGGGUACAAUGCCGGGGAUUAUGCUGAGGGGCGGGCCGCCGGCCCUCUGCACAUAUAAAGGUGCUAUAGAAAUGUGCAGUCAUUCAAAGUCCCAAAGGCGCGUGAGCAGGGAGGGAGGCUCCAUCUCCCACUGCGGGGGGAGGCCGAGGGGGAGAGGCGGGCCUGAUUUACAGUGGUUCAGUGCAGCCUCAAAACUAGGGGGAAGAAAGCAAUGGGACUUCUGGCCGGGAGCACUGCUUUGCAUCUCGUCUUGCAUAAAUUUGCAUACCGAGUUCAAAGUCGUAAAAUAGACUGGGGAAUGAGUGGGACCCACUGUCACUGAUUGUUAACACCACUACCUUCCGCCUCCCCUCCCCCCUUCUGGACAGAACUCCUUGAACCAGCUCAGCUAAGUUCCCUGUCGGAGUCACCCCAGGAAGACUUACGAGGAGGGGGUGGGGGCUGAGGCUGCAGCUCCUGGGUUUUCUCUUGGACACAGAGAGCUCCUUGGUUUAGGGACUAAGUGGGGUGAAGCUCUGUGCCCCUUGGAGACAGGACUGGCUGCAGGGUGACCAGAGGGGUCCAGUGAGGGUGCAGUGGGUGUUCUUUUUUGUGGCUAGGGUAGGCCAGGGGCCUGCUCUGUUUAAAGUCCCCCGCCCCCACAAAGGACUCUUGGAGUAAGUGCAGGAGCCUAAAGGGGAGAAGCCACCUGUUGUGAUAAUGAGGGUCAGGUGGUUAUUCUUGGCCAAAUUGGGCUAUUGAGUUUCCUGUCAGGCAAAGGGAAGAAGGAGGGUUAGAUAGCUUUCCGUGCCUCAUUUUAAAUGAUGGUUUCAGGCAAAUCCUUCUUUUCAGUUAAGGGAGUCAUGGAAUUUAGUGCUACAAAUGUGCCCUGCGAACUUCCAGUUGGUUCUCAGCAGGCUGUUCCCUGCAGUUCACCCAGUGGAAUGGAGGAAGGGUAAGGACAGGAUACGUGGAGAGCCAGGCCAAGCUCUAAGGGGAUUGAAGGACUGCAGAAAUCAGCAGGCUUGGGGCUGGGGAUUUAGCUCAGCGGCAUAAGCGCCUGCCUUGCAAGCAGGCAGUCGUGAGUUCGAUCCCUGGUACCAAUAAAAAAAAUGAAAAAGACAAAAAAAAAAAAAAAAGAAAAAAAAAAAAAAAAAAGAAA